GAAUUCGAUUAACGCGAAGAACCUUACCCAGGCUUGAACUGCGAGUGACCACGCCCGAAAGGGCGCUUCCGCAAGGACACUCGUAGAGGUGCUGCAUGGCUGUCGUCAGCUCGUGUCGUGAGAUGUUGGGUUAAGUCCCGCAACGAGCGCAACCCUUGUCCUCUGUUGCCAUCACGUUAUGGUGGGCACUCUGAGGAGACUGCCGGUGAUAAACCGGAGGAAGGUGGGGAUGACGUCAAGUCAGCAUGGCCUUUAUGUCUGGGGCUACACACGUGCUACAAUGGCCGGUACAAAGCGUCGCAAACUCGCGAGGGGGAGCUAAUCGCAGAAAGCCGGUCUCAGUUCGGAUUGCAGUCUGCAACUCGACUGCAUGAAGUCGGAAUCGCUAGUAAUCGCAGAUCAGCAUGCCGCAGUGAAUACGUUCCCGGGCCUUGUCACACCGAAUCACUA
rnacentral:rRNA from 1 species